rnacentral:rRNA from 1 species
UUUUGGACAAUGGGCGCAAGCCUGAUCCAGCCAUGCCGCGUGAGUGAAGAAGGCCUUCGGGUUGUAAAGCUCUUUCGGCGGGGACGAAACGGUUCGUGCUAAUACCACGGACUACUGACGGUACCCGCAGAAGAAGCACCGGCUAACUACGUGCCAGCAGCCGCGGUAAUACGUAGGGUGCAGGCGUUAAUCGGAAUUACUGGGCGUAAAGCGUGCGCAGGCGGUUUGUUAAGACAGGUGUGAAAUCCCCGGGCUUAACCUGGGAAUUGCGCUUGUAACUGGCAGACUGGAGUGUGGCAGAGGGGGGUGGAAUUCCAAGUGUAGCAGUGAAAUGCGUAGAUAUUUGGAGGAACACCGAUGGCGAAGGCAGCCCCCUGGGCUAACACUGACGCUCAUGCACGAAU